rnacentral:rRNA from 1 species
AACAAAGGCCUAAAUACCCUAAAGGCAUUUGAUCCUGUCUGAUCUUGGAAGCUAAGUAGGAUCAGCCCUGUUUAGUUCUUGGAUGGAAGUCUGCCAAGGAAUACCAGAUGCUGUACAUA